rnacentral:lncRNA from 1 species
AGUCGCAUGCAGGACAGCACCGCGUGCGGCAGCUGCUCUGGUGGCCUCCUGCUUACCCGGCCCUCCACUUUACCGUUAGCACGGAGUGCGGCACCCUGCUUGGGCCUUUCGGCUCUGCCUCCCCUGCCCGUCACGGCGGGUCACGACAUCGGCCAGGACGCAGCAGAAGGGACAAGACACGCAAAGAAGAUGGCGCACCCACCUCGGCACCGAAGGCCAGUGCGACCUCCCGGGAGCAGGCGGGCCAGCACGGGCCUUCCCGGAGGAGACAGCUAAGCCGAGACCUGGGACUGCAGAGGAGAAACAAGGAGGAGGCAGGCGGGGCCCGGUGCCCUCCUCGUCUGCCGUGCCGGGUGGACGGUCUGCUCGCCUGUCUGCGUGACGAAACUGAGGCACAAAGACGCGCUAUGCCAGCGGCGGGUAUAGCAAGGGCUCCCUCCGCGCCACGUGUUGCCAUCCACCACACAGGAAUGACCGUCUCCGUGUCAUAGAUGGGAAACCAGGACGUGUAGGCAUCAGCAGGUGCAGGCCCUGGAAGACAAGGGAGGAGCCUGUGAGCCACCGGCCCACGUGAAAGUAAAUGCAUGAAGUUCCCUCUCGCUGAACUGAAAAGAGCCUCAACCUGGACCUGACACCAACUUCGCCGGUGCUGCCUGGCUGGUUGCUCUAGCGCCCUGAAGGAGAGGAAUGCAGUCAUAUUUCACUGUGAUUUUCAGUGUCAUUUCCACGAAGACUAAUGAUGUUGAGCUUUUUUUUCUCCAUAAUACAGGUGAG